CUCCCCAUGGCGUAGUGGUCACUGCGCUCGCCUUGCACGCGGGAGACCCGGGUUCGAUUCCCGGCGGGGUCA
rnacentral:tRNA from 1 species